GACGAAGGUGGCGAGCGUUGUUCGGAAUCACUGGGCAUAAAGCGCACGUAGGCGGUGCCGUAAGUCGGAUGUGAAAUCCCUCGGCCUAACCGAGGAACUGCGUCCGAUACUGCGGUGCUUGAGGAUCAGAGGGGUGCAUGGAAUUUCCGGUGGAGCGGUGAAAUGCGUUGAUAUCGGAAGGAACUCCGGCGGCGAAAGCGAUGCACUGGCUGAUUUCUGACGCUGAGGUGCGAAAGCUAGGGGAGCGAACGGG
rnacentral:rRNA from 1 species